rnacentral:rRNA from 1 species
AGGAACGACCAUACUACGAUGUCAGCACCGCUUCCCGUCUGCUCAGCGAAGUUAAGCAUCGUCAGGCCCGGCUACUACUACGGUGGGGGACCACGUUGGAAUCCCGGGUGUUGUUCUUU